rnacentral:misc_RNA from 1 species
GAAAUGCGAUAAGUAGUGUGAAUUGCAGAAUUCAGUGAAUCAUCGAAUCUUUGAACGCACAUUGCGCCCCUUGGUAUUCCAUGGGGCAUGCCUGUUCGAGCGUCAUUUGUACCCUCAAGCUCUGCUUGGUGUUGGGUGUUUGUCCUGUCUCCGCGCGUGGACUCGCCCCAAAGUGAUUGGCAGCCGGCGUACUGGUCCCGGAGCGCAGCACAUGUCGUGCAAACGAGUGCCUUGGUACGGCGGCGUCCAUAAGCCCCUCUCUCACGCUCUUGACCUCGGAUCAGGUAGGGAUACCCGCCGAACUUAAGC